UCCCUAGUGGCUCAGACAGUAAAGAAUCUGCCUGCAAAGCAGGAUACCCAGGUUCAAUCCUUGGCUCAAGAA
rnacentral:tRNA from 1 species